CGUAGGGCGCAAGCGUUAUCCGGAAUUAUUGGGCGUAAAGAGCUCGUAGGCGGUUUGUCGCGUCUGCCGUGAAAGUCCGGGGCUCAACUCCGGAUCUGCGGUGGGUACGGGCAGACUAGAGUGAUGUANGGGAGACUGGAAUUCCUGGUGUAGCGGUGAAAUGCGCAGAUAUCAGGAGGAACACCGAUGGCGAAGGCAGGUCUCUGGGCAUUAACUGACGCUGAGGAGCGAAAGCAUGGGGAGCGAACAGGAUUAGAUACCCUGGUAGUCCAUGCCGUAAACGUUGGGCACUAGGUGUGGGGGACAUUCCACGUUUUCCGUACCGUAGCUAACGCAUUAAGUGCCCCGCCUGGGGAGUACGGCCGCAAGGCUAAAACUCAAAGGAAUUGACGGGGGCCCGCACAAGCGGCGGAGCAUGCGGAUUAAUUCGAUGCAACGCGAAGAACCUUACCAAGGCUUGACAUGAACCGGAAACAUCUGGAGACAGGUGCCCCGCUUGCGGUCGGUUUACAGGUGGUGCAUGGUUGUCGUCAGCUCGUGUCGUGAGAUGUUGGGUUAAGUCCCGCAACGAGCGCAACCCUCGUUCCAUGUUGCCAGCGCGUAGUGGCGGGGACUCAUGGGAGACUGCCGGGGUCAACUCGGAGGAAGGUGGGGACGACGUCAAAUCAUCAUGCCCCUUAUGUCUUGGGCUUCACGCAUGCUACAAUGGCCGGUACAAAGGGUUGCGAUACUGUGAGGUGGAGCUAAUCCCAAAAAGCCGGUCUCAGUUCGGAUUGGGGUCUGCAACUCGACCCCAUGAAGUCGGAUCGCUAGUAAUCGCAGAUCAGCAACGC
rnacentral:rRNA from 1 species